rnacentral:lncRNA from 1 species
AGAUGCUUUUUCCAAAGAUGGACAACCUUUCGAAGUUUCACUGCCACUUGAUAAACUAUCAGUUGAAAAUACACCAUCAUUAGAUACUGAACUCCAAAACAGAUUUCCGUUAGACAAAAGACCACCAGGGGAUUCUAAAGCAUUAUCUCCAGGGUCUUCGUCUAUUUCGAAAUCGGAAAACGUUUUGUAUGUUAAGAAAAAUAUCAACAGCAGCACAAUCAGCAUUGAUAACACAGAAGAAGUCCACCACUAUGCUCUUUCCAAAGAUGGACAACCUUUCGAAGUUUCACUGCCACAUGAUAAACUAUCAGUGGGCAGCCUCUCCAUUGUAGAGAACCAGAAGUCUUAGAUGUAUUCAUCUGCCUUACAGGAAGAUUUAUACUUGAAGACCGACAAACGGAUCUGACAGGAAAGGACGCUGAUAGAUUCAACUUUUUAUUUGUUACAGAAGACUUCAUAUUAUAUUUCCAUACCAAAUGUAUAGAUUUUAUAACAUAGUGAUACAGCACUUUAAAGGCAUACUGUCACGGAUUUAAGGACCUUAUUUCUCUAAAAAUGGAUAAUAAAUAAAAAUUACAUUGAUUGUUGGAAACCAAAUCUAGCUAUCGCAUCAACUUAACUGAACCUGAACCGUGAUGGAGUGAAAUCCAUGUCAACCCUCUCGGCAAUUUUAGUUUUUGAAUUAUGGACCAUUGCCAUAAUUCAAUUAUUUUUACAACAUAUCAUUAAUAAAUGGAGUAUGGUGGUUAUGAAGAUGGU